UACGGAGGGGGCAAGCGUUGUUCGGAAUUAUUGGCGUAAAGAGCGUGUAGGCGGCCAUGUAGGUCCGUUGUGAAAACUCGAGGCUCAACCUCGAGACGUCGAUGGAAACCAUCCUGGCUAGAGUCCGGAAGAGGAGAGUGGAAUUCCUGGUGUGAGCGGUGGAAAUGACGCAGAUAUCAGGAAGAACACCCGGUGGCGAAGGCGGCUCUCUGGUACGUGACUGACGCUGAGACGCGAAAGCGUGGGGAGCAAACAGG
rnacentral:rRNA from 1 species